UACAGUCUCUGCCGCCCUUGUCAGGUAUCGUACCGGUGCCGCUCGGCGCCUCCGGCGGUGACCGGUCGGCGGGCCGGGGCCAGCCGGCCGGGCGGGGAGGACGGGGUAGUCGCUCCCCGGACGUGUUACAGAGCGGACCGUCAAUACAGCUCCGAACGCAGUGCCGUCUUCGCUGUGUGUGUGAGUGACGCGACGACGCAACAUUGGCGACGAGGAUGAGAUCUGCUGCCCCGGUGCGUGUCAGCGAGGUAUAGUCGUCGGCCCACACGGUACGUGGUCAUGGAGCGGGAGCUGGCGCCGCUCGCGCCGUUCAGUUGCGCGGAGCCAAGUAAGUGGGACAGUUGGAAGCGCUCUUUUGAAUAUUACAUUCAGGCAUCGGGCAUCACCUCAGAGUCUCGGAAAAUAGCGCUUUUGUUACAUGUCGGAGGAGUAGAUCUCCAAGAAGUGUUCCAUUCUGUUGUUGACGCGAGUGUCAAGGUUGAGACUCUGCAGCAGCUUUAUGAAGUUUUUGAUCAACAGUUUUUGCCGAAGCGAAACGUAAUUUACGAGAGACAUGUGUUCCGUAAGGAAGCUCAAAGGCCAGGGGAGACGAUCGAUGUUUUUGCAACCAGGCUGCGGGGCCUUGUACGGACUUGCGAGUAUGGAUCCCUUCAGGAUGAAAUGGUCAGAGAUCAGAUUGUUGACAAGUGCCUGAGCCAUCGCUUACGAUGCCAUCUGCUCAGGGAACAAUGCCUGACGCUGCAGUCGGCGCUGACGAUUGCGAGGUCUAUGGAAGAUGCCGACAGACAAGCUGAGCUGAUGGAGGACCGCGCAGCAGAGGAGCUCGCUGCACGCGCUGUGCACACGCGCCGCCCUGAUCGGAGGAUGCCUGGAGGAGCUUCGGAUCAGACAGACGGUAGGACGAAAUGUUUUCGCUGUGGCAAGGGUACCCACGACCCCGAGGACUGUUUCGCUAAAAACAAAAAGUGUCAUAGCUGUGGUCGAGGUGGUCAUUACCAGAGAAUGUGUCGUGGGGGUGGCCAGUCUCGACCGGGCCGGAGACAGGUUCGUCUGGUGACGACGGAGCACGAAGAUCACGUCUUCCGGCUCGCCGAUGACGGCCGCGACGUGACGUACCCUGUCCAAAGGACUUGGCAAGCUGAAGGACUUCCAGCUGACGGUGCCGAUCGAUCCAGGCGUCACCCCGGUGGCGCAGAAGGUCAGGAGAAUUCCGUUCUCUCUGCAAGGUCCCGUGGAGCAGAAGCUGAAGGAGCUGCUGGACCAGGAUAUUAUUGAACAGCCGACUGACACAGACACCGGCUCCUGCUGGCGGCAACGGCGGCGACCACUACGCACGUUUUGUGACCAGUCACGCCGUCCCGUCCGCGCUACAGAAGAGUGACAUUCAAAAGGAGACGGCCCGAGACGACCAGUUACAGCUGGUGAUGCGAAGUCUGCCAACCGGCUAAUGGUUCUGUCGAGCGUCAGAACCGGACGCUGCUGAAGGCCAUCCGGACCGCCGUGGCGGAGGGGAGGAGCUGGCCGUCCAGCCUGCCGACGUUCCUGCUGGCGUACCGCACCACGCCUCACCCCGCCACGGGGGUCAGUCCCGCCGAGCUGCUUUGCGGUCGGCGGCUGCGCACCAAGAUGCCGGCCGCCUCUGGUCCCGCACCGGCACCCGACCGGCCGGUCGUACAGCAGAGGAACGCGCGCUACCGUGAGGCGGGGAAACGCUACGCUGAUCGACAACGACACACAAUGCCAGCCAACAUCAGUGUCGGUGACAGAGUGCUGGUGAAAAUUCCGAACAGACUUACUAAACUGUCAGGAGCUUUCUUCUCAGAGCCGUAUAGAGUCGUGUCGGUGAGCGGCUCUCAGGUGACGGUGAGAAGGCCUGAUGGAAAGUUGUUUAAGCGAAACAGCAGUUAUGUUAAACAGUAUGUUGAACCGCGUGAUUUCGUUGAGCCGUUCUCUCUUCCACGCCGCGAGGGUCCGGCGUGCGCCGCUACGCCGAGCGCCCGGGCAGACCGACCUCCUGACGAGGCGGCUGACCAAUGUGUAGGACUCCGCACGCGCAGUGGUCGACUCAGUGUGAAACCCCAGUGGUUCGGGAACGUUGUAAGCCACUGAACGAGGAGCAUGAACUAUUCGUUUAAUUGUCAUUUCCUUUGUGAUGUACUUAAAGAUAAGUUGGGGAGGGAUGUAGUGUACAGUCUCUGCCGCCCUUGUCAGGUAUCGUACCGGUGCCGCUCGGCGCCUCCGGCGGUGACCGGUCGGCGGGCCGGGGCCAGCCGGCCGGGCGGGGAGGACGGGGUAGUCGCUCCCCGGACGUGUUACAGAGCGGACCGUCAAUACAGCUCCGAACGCAG
rnacentral:misc_RNA from 1 species